GAAAAAACGGUGAUCAGAAUAGUAAAUGAAUCGAUUCGUUUCAGAGAGUUUCCGGAUGCUGCAAGGAAAUAGCGAUUCCUCAUUGAACACGCCUGUCAGUUGUUUUUCUGAAAAAUCAUUCGGAUAUUUAUUGUGAAUCAGUAGGAAAAAUCGGAGAGCCCGUUAUCGCUUUUUAGUUAUUGAACUAACAGAGGUUUUUGUCGUGAGAUAAAGACGAAUCUGAGGUGGGACCACGUGAAAAUUUCUCGUCCUCUUG
rnacentral:ncRNA from 1 species